rnacentral:rRNA from 1 species
GGACGAACGCUGGCGGCGUGCUUAACACAUGCAAGUCGAACGGAAAGGCCCUGCUUUGUGGGGUGCUCGAGUGGCGAACGGGUGAGUAACACGUGAGUAACCUGCCCUUGACUUUGGGAUAACUUCAGGAAACUGGGGCUAAUACCGGAUAGGAGCUCCUGCUGCAUGGUGGGGGUUGGAAAGUUUCGGCGGUUGGGGAUGGACUCGCGGCUUAUCAGCUUGUUGGUGGGGUAGUGGCUUACCAAGGCUUUGACGGGUAGCCGGCCUGAGAGGGUGACCGGCCACAUUGGGACUGAGAUACGGCCCAGACUCCUACGGGAGGCAGCAGUGGGGAAUAUUGCACAAUGGGCGGAAGCCUGAUGCAGCAACGCCGCGUGCGGGAUGACGGCCUUCGGGUUGUAAACCGCUUUCGCCUGUGACGAAGCGUGAGUGACGGUAAUGGGUAAAGAAGCACCGGCUAACUACGUG